rnacentral:rRNA from 1 species
UACAGAGGUGCCGAGCGUUAGGCGGAAUCACUGGGCUUAAAGCGUGUGUAGGCGGAUGCCUAAGUACCUUGUGAAAUCCCCCGGCUUAACCGGGGAACUGCUUGGUAUACUGGGUGUCUUGAGCCACUUAGGGGCGACCGGAACAAACGGUGGAGCGGUGAAAUGCGUAGAUAUCGUUUGGAACGCCAAUGGUGAAAACAGGUCGCUGGGAGUGUGCUGACGCUGAGACGCGAAAGCGUGGGGAGCAAACAGG